rnacentral:lncRNA from 1 species
UGUUCUUUGAUUACAGGAAUGUUUCACAUUCAGUGUUGUUUCUUUGAUUACAGGAAUGUUUCACAUUCAGUGUUGUUCUUUGAUUACAGGAAUGUUUCACAUUCAGUGUUGUUCUUUGAUUACAGGAAUGUUUCACAUUCAGUGUUGUUCUUUGAUUACAGGAAUGUUUCACAUUCAGUGUUGUUCUGUUGAUUACAGGAAUGUUUCACAUUCAGUGUUGUUCUUUGAUUACAGGUAUGUUUCACAUUCAGUGUUGUUCUUUGAUUAAGAUAUGUUUCACAUUAAGUGUUGUGCUUUGAUUACAGGUAUGUUUUACAUUUAGUGUUGUGUAAACAUUGUUAUUUUUUAAGUAUCUUAUAGUUGGGUGUUUUAUUUUGUUUAUGCAUGUUCUUACUGUCAUGUUUUGAAGUGACUUUUAGU